CAGCCGCCGCGGGAAUACGUAGGGUGCGAGCGUUAAUCGGAAUUACUGGGCGUAAAGCGUGCGCAGGCGGUUUUGUAAGACAGGCGUGAAAUCCCCGGGCUCAACCUGGGAAUGGCGCUUGUGACUGCAAAGCUAGAGUGCGGCAGAGGGGGAUGGAAUUCCGCGUGUAGCAGUGAAAUGCGUAGAUAUGCGGAGGAACACCGAUGGCGAAGGCAAUCCCCUGGGCCUGCACUGACGCUCAUGCACGAAAGCGUGGGGAGCAAACAGGAUUAGAUACCCGGGUGUCCCUGUCUCUUAUACA
rnacentral:rRNA from 1 species